rnacentral:rRNA from 1 species
AGUAAGAAAACACUGUGGUUAGCGGAACGUGUCUGGAAAGCGCGAGCGUAGAGGGUGAGACUCCCGUACGCGAAAACCCGGUGUCUCCUGAUGGUGUUCCCAAGUAGCAGCGUACUCGUGAAAUUCGCUGUGAAUCUGGCGGGACCACCCGCUAAGCCUAAAUACUCCCUGGUGACCGAUAGCGGACUAGUACCGUGAGGGAAAGGUGAAAAGUACCCCGGGAGGGGAGUGAAAUAGUACCUGAAACCGUGUGCCUACAAUCCGUCGGAGCCUUUCGGGGUGACGGCGUGCCUUUUGAAGAAUGAGCCUGCGAGUUAGUGCUACGUGGCGAGGUUAACCCGUGUGGGGUAGCCGUAGCGAAAGCGAGUCCGAAUAGGGCGAUCUUAGUCGCGUGGUCUAGACCCGAAGCGGAGUGAUCUAGCCAUGGCCAGGGUGAAGCGCGGGUAAGACCGUGUGGAGGCCCGAACCCACCAGGGUUGAAAACCUGGGGGAUGAGCUGUGGUUAGGGGUGAAAGGCCAAUCAAACUCCGUGAUAGCUGGUUCUCCCCGAAAUGCAUUUAGGUGCAGCGUCGCAUGUUUCUCGCCGGAGGUAGAGCACUGGAUGGUCUAGGGGGCCCACAAGCUUACCGAAAUCAACCAAACUCCGAAUGCCGGUGAGUGAGAGUGCGGCAGUGAGACUGCGGGCGAUAAGGUUCGUAGUCGAGAGGGAAACAGCCCAGAACACCAGCUAAGGCCCCUAAGUGUGUGCUAAGUGGGAAAGGAUGUGGGGUCGCCCAGACAACCAGGAGGUUGGCUUAGAAGCAGCCACCCUUUAAAGAGUGCGUAAUAGCUCACUGGUCAAGUGGUCCUGCGCCGACAAUGUAGCGGGGCUCAAGCACACCGCCGAAGCUGUGUCAUUCACACAUAUGAUCCGUGCGGGCUCGACUCGUACGCAGUCGUGUGGAUGGGUAGGGGAGCGUCGUAUAGCCAGUGAAGCGCCGGUGUGAACCAGGUGUGGAGGCUAUGCGAGUGAGAAUGCAGGCAUGAGUAGCGAAAGGGGAGUGAGAAACUCCCCCGCCGGAUGACCAAGGGUUCCUGGGCCAGGCUAAUCCGCCCAGGGUAAGUCGGGACCUAAGGCGAGGCCGACAGGCGUAGUCGAUGGACAACGGGUUGAUAUUCCCGUACCCGUGUGAACGCGCCCAUGGCGAACCUUGUGAUGCUAACCGCCCAAAGCGGGGUCACCGUCCUUCGGGACGUCGACCUUGUGGAGCGCGGGACCCGAACUUGUAGUAGUCAAGCGAUGGGGUGACGCAGGAGGGUAGCUCCGCCAGUGAGUGGUAGUACUGGUGUAAGCGUGUAGGCCGAAGCAUAGGCAAAUCCGUGCUUCAUAUAGGCUGAGACGUGAUGCAUAGCCGAUUGAGGCGAAGUAGAGUGAUCCCAUGCUGCCGAGAAAAGCCUCUAGUGAGUGUUCAUGCGGCCCGUACCCCAAACCGACACAGGUGGUCAGGUAGAGAAUACCGAGGCGAUCGGGCGAACUGUGGUUAAGGAACUCGGCAAAAUCCCCCCGUAACUUCGGGAGAAGGGGGGCCGUAGCGCUUGAAGCCUCUUGCAGGCUAGGGCGAGACGGCCGCAGAGACCAGCGAGAAGCGACUGUUUACUAAAAACACAGGUCCGUGCGAAGUCGCAAGACGAUGUAUACGGACUGACGCCUGCCCGGUGCUGGAACGUUAAGGGGACCGGUUAGUCACUUGUGGCGAAGCUGAGAACUUAAGCGCCAGUAAACGGCGGUGGUAACUAUAACCAUCCUAAGGUAGCGAAAUUCCUUGUCGGGUAAGUUCCGACCUGCACGAAUGGCGUAACGACUUCUCGACUGUCUCAACCGCAGGCCCGGCGAAAUUGCAUUACGAGUAAAGAUGCUCGUUACGCGCGGCAGGACGGAAAGACCCCGGGACCUUUACUAUAGCUUGGUAUUGGUGUUCGGUUCGGCUUGUGUAGGAUAGGUGGGAGACUGUGAAGCCGGGACGCCAGUUCUGGUGGAGUCAUCGUUGAAAUACCACUCUGGUCGUACUGGAUGUCUAACCUCGGUCCGUGAUCCGGAUCAGGGACAGUGCCUGGUGGGUAGUUUAACUGGGGCGGUUGCCUCCCAAAGGGUAACGGAGGCGCUCAAAGGUUCCCUCAGCCUGGUUGGCAAUCAGGUGUCGAGUGCAAGUGCACAAGGGGGCUUGACUGUGAGACAGACAUGUCGAGCAGGGACGAAAGUCGGAACUAGUGAUCCGGCGCUGGCUGGUGGAAGCGGCGUCGCUCAACGGAUAAAAGGUACCCCGGGGAUAACAGGCUGAUCUUGCCCAAGAGUCCAUAUCGACGGCAUGGUUUGGCACCUCGAUGUCGGCUCGUCGCAUCCUGGGGCUGGAGUAGGUCCCAAGGGUUGGGCUGUUCGCCCAUUAAAGCGGUACGCGAGCUGGGUUUAGAACGUCGUGAGACAGUUCGGUCCCUAUCCGCCGCGCGCGUAGGAUACUUGAGGAAGGCUGUCCCUAGUACGAGAGGACCGGGAUGGACGAACCUCUGGUGUGCCAGUUGUCCUGCCAAGGGCACUGCUGGUUGGCUACGUUCGGAAGGGAUAACCGCUGAAAGCAUCUAAGCGGGAAGCCUGUUCCAAGAUGAGGUAUCCCACCCCUUUGA